CUUCCACAAAAGGGCCAAACACCUUCCCUGGAAGAAAGAGUCCUUACAAAUCUAAAGGAGAAACAUCUGUGGAACAGUUAGAGGUCUGGUUGCUGACUAAGAGCAGCAGGGAGCUUUGUAGUUAAUCAUCUGUACUCCUACAAGGAUCUCCGCUCACCAGUGUGAAUUACUAAUGAAGGAAACCAUCAUUAAGCAUAAGACACCAUGAAAGAUAAGACACCAUGCAGUCCCCAUGCAAAAAGAAGCAAAAUCACAGCAGGAAGAAGUGGGAAUUGACACUUUAGCAAAAGAAGGGAGAAGUUCUGGACGAUUACGUUGGUAGCUGAGCGAUUUGCGUCAGGACCUCUGUGCAAAACACAGAGUAAAACUUGCUGUACGAGAAGUGAACUCUUGCCCAUCUGUGACCCUGCCUUGGAGCCAGCUGACUAAAGACUGAAGCCUCUAGGAACUCGGAGUAUAGAGGCAGGGAUUAAAUCAUCCAUGGCUUAAUUUGAUGAAAUUCUGCUAGAAUGAAGUCAUGCUUUUCAAAUAGUAGAAGAAAACGCUGAAGAUUAUAUGACAAGAUGGAGUUGUAUAAAGACAAGUAAAGAAACAUAAAAGAAAGAAACAAACAAAAAACCCCAAAACCACGAGCUCCAUACAUCUACACGUUAUUGACUUUUACUGGGUUAAAAUGCAAAUCAAAGAAGUUACUUCCAUGACU